rnacentral:rRNA from 1 species
AGAGUUUGAUCAUGGCUCAGAUUGAACGCUGGCGGCAGGCCUAACACAUGCAAGUCGAACGGUAACAGGAAGCAGCUUGCUGCUUUGCUGACGAGUGGCGGACGGGUGAGUAAUGUCUGGGAAACUGCCUGAUGGAGGGGGAUAACUACUGGAAACGGUGGCUAAUACCGCAUAACGUCGCAAGACCAAAGAGGGGGACCUUCGGGCCUCUUGCCAUCAGAUGUGCCCAGAUGGGAUUAGCUUGUUGGUGAGGUAACGGCUCACCAAGGCGACGAUCCCUAGCUGGUCUGAGAGGAUGACCAGCCACACUGGAACUGAGACACGGUCCAGACUCCUACGGGAGGCAGCAGUGGGGAAUAUUGCACAAUGGGCGCAAGCCUGAUGCAGCCAUGCCGCGUGUAUGAAGAAGGCCUUCGGGUUGUAAAGUACUUUCAGCGGGGAGGAAGGUGUUGUGGUUAAUAACCGCAGCAAUUGACGUUACCCGCAGAAGAAGCACCGGCUAACUCCGUGCCAGCAGCCGCGGUAAUACGGAGGGUGCAAGCGUUAAUCGGAAUUACUGGGCGUAAAGCGCACGCAGGCGGUCUGUCAAGUCGGAUGUGAAAUCCCCGGGCUCAACCUGGGAACUGCAUUCGAAACUGGCAGGCUUGAGUCUUGUAGAGGGGGGUAGAAUUCCAGGUGUAGCGGUGAAAUGCGUAGAGAUCUGGAGGAAUACCGGUGGCGAAGGCGGCCCCCUGGACAAAGACUGACGCUCAGGUGCGAAAGCGUGGGGAGCAAACAGGAUUAGAUACCCUGGUAGUCCACGCCGUAAACGAUGUCUACUUGGAGGUUGUGCCCUUGAGGCGUGGCUUCCGGAGCUAACGCGUUAAGUAGACCGCCUGGGGAGUACGGCCGCAAGGUUAAAACUCAAAUGAAUUGACGGGGGCCCGCACAAGCGGUGGAGCAUGUGGUUUAAUUCGAUGCAACGCGAAGAACCUUACCUGGUCUUGACAUCCACAGAACUUUCCAGAGAUGGAUUGGUGCCUUCGGGAACUGUGAGACAGGUGCUGCAUGGCUGUCGUCAGCUCGUGUUGUGAAAUGUUGGGUUAAGUCCCGCAACGAGCGCAACCCUUAUCCUUUGUUGCCAGCGGUCCGGCCGGGAACUCAAAGGAGACUGCCAGUGAUAAACUGGAGGAAGGUGGGGAUGACGUCAAGUCAUCAUGGCCCUUACGACCAGGGCUACACACGUGCUACAAUGGCGCAUACAAAGAGAAGCGACCUCGNGAGAGCAAGCGGACCUCAUAAAGUGCGUCGUAGUCCGGAUUGGAGUCUGCAACUCGACUCCAUGAAGUCGGAAUCGCUAGUAAUCGUGGAUCAGAAUGCCACGGUGAAUACGUUCCCGGGCCUUGUACACACCGCCCGUCACACCAUGGGAGUGGGUUGCAAAAGAAGUAGGUAGCUUAACCUUCGGGGGGGCGCUUACCACUUUGUGAUUCAUGACUGGGGUGAAGUCGUAACAAGGUAACCGUAGGGGAACCUGCGGUUG